rnacentral:tRNA from 1 species
GGUUUAGUAGUCAAGUGGUAAGACAUAGCUCUUUCAAUGCUACCCUCGCAGGUUCGCUCCCCGUCUAGUCUA